rnacentral:rRNA from 1 species
GAUGAACGCUGACAGAAUGCUUAACACAUGCAAGUCUUUGGCGAAUCUGUGCUUGCACAGGCUAGCCAAGGCGGACGGGUGAGUAACGCGUAAAGAACUUGCCCUGCAGACAGGGAUAACAGACGGAAACGACUGAUAACACCUGAUACAGUUGCCGGCACGCAUGUGCCUGGCAAUGAAAAGAGAUGCUGCAGGAGAGCUUUGCGUCCUAUUAGCUUGUUGGUGAGGUGACGGCUCACCAAGGCGAUGAUAGGUAGCCGGCCUGAGAGGGUGAACGGCCACAAGGGGACUGAGAUACGGCCCUUACUCCUACGGGAGGCAGCAGUGGGGAAUAUUGGACAAUGGGGGCAACCCUGAUCCAGCAAUUCUGUGUGCACGAAGAAGGUUUUCGGAUUGUAAAGUGCUUUCAGCAGGGAAGAAGAAAGUGACGGUACCUGCAGAAGAAGCGAUGGCUAAAUACGUG